CAUAUUAAUAUCUAAUUGUUUGCCUAAUAAAAUAGAACUAGUUUAGGACAGAAUGUGUACCCUACCACAUUCUGUGUAUUCAUCUCGUAAAUCCCGUCUAAUGCGAUCUUUUUUGUUAUCAGCUAAUCGAUAUGAUAUUUUUGAAUUUAUCUAUAUUUGUCACAGUCGAUUUCUCCGUCAUUGACAGUUGCGCGUAGUUUUUAAGCUGUGAUAAUAGUGACCCAUAACAUGUCGCAUUUUGGACCACAGCUACAAAAAUUAUGUUUUAUUGGCCGCGUUGUAAUAUUGAAUCAUAUUACUACAUACUGCCGUGACUUAUUUUAUAUAAAACAUUACCACUACUGCUGAAACUAUCAUCUCUUAAUCUGUUUCCGCGUCUCCCAAUACUUUCCGCAAAACAAUUUUGUUUUAUUGAAAAACACUGAGUUCAAAUAUUAAGUGGUUAGUUAUGCUCCAUAUCAAUUGUGACAUUUUCAUCUCCACCAUUACUAGGGGACGUAUCGAUAUCAUCAAGAAAUUCACGAAAGUUUCCACCACCUACUAAUAAUGUAGGUACGGUAGCAGGAGCUUUGUCAGGGGCAAAAGAAAACUCCAGCUGACUUUGUUGUGCUCUGUUAAAUUUAAAAUUGAUAAUUAAGAAUUUUGUUUAAAUAUAAAAGCAAAUAUACCUUCUUGAUUCUAA